UCCCAUGCAUUCAAACAACAAGCAUCUUCACUGAGAAGAGUAGCAAUAAGGAAAUCAAAGAAGACAACCCACUCUCCCACAGAGCCCCAUUAGAGGAUAAGCCCAUCCCCAGCAGGGUCCGGCACAGAGGUUUUAAGGGGUGGACCAGGAAUAUAGCAAAUGCCCUGAUAAAGCUGUGUUGCUGCAUGCCAAGGAGAAAGAAACCUCGCCUGGGGCAGAACAGAAUCUCCCCCCAGAAAUGAGCCACAGGGAGAGUCCAGAGAACAAGCAGCAGGCAUAGCCCAGUGUCAUCUGGAAAUUCUUUCAUGUCCUCAGUAUAAACAGUAGGUGAUUUCAGACACAUGGCAAUGGAAAAGACACCAGCAGAAACUACAGCAGCAACAGGAGUAGCAACAAUAGCAGAAGCAGCAUUAGGCACAGCAGCAGCAGGAGGAGGAGAUCGAGGAGGGUAGGAGGAGGAGGAGGAAGAUGAAGAGAGGAGGAGAAAGAAGAGAAGGAGGAGGAAGAGAAGGAAGAGGAGGAGAAAGAGGAGGAUGAAGAGCAGGGGGAAGAUUUUGAUUCCCUGUCCCCGUGAGAAUUGCUGAUGACUACUUCUGGACACAGAUAUCAUGCUGAGAACUGUUUAUCAAAAUGAUUUAACAGAAUAUUAAUGUUCAUAGAAGACAUGUCAAUGUUCCUGAGGGCAUGCAGCCCUGGAAAAGAGAGCCAGAUGGCAGAGGCAAGCAGUGUGGAAUGUCCUUACUGAGGAAGACCUUCUCAAAGCUGAUGAUGUAAGAGGUAUGAAG
rnacentral:lncRNA from 1 species